AACGAACGCUGGCGGCAUGCCUAACACAUGCAAGUCGAACGAGACCUUCGGGUCUAGUGGCGCACGGGUGCGUAACGCGUGGGAACCUGCCCUUAGGUUCGGAAUAACUCCCCGAAAGGGGUGCUAAUACCGGAUAAUGUCUUCGGACCAAAGAUUUAUCGCCUUUGGAUGGGCCCGCGUUGGAUUAGCUAGUUGGUAGGGUAAAAGCCUACCAAGGCGACGAUCCAUAGCUGGUCUGAGAGGAUGAUCAGCCACACUGGGACUGAGACACGGCCCAGACUCCUACGGGAGGCAGCAGUGGGGAAUAUUGGACAAUGGGCGAAAGCCUGAUCCAGCAAUGCCGCGUGAGUGAUGAAGGCCUUAGGGUUGUAAAGCUCUUUUACACGGGAUGAUAACGACAGUACCGGGAGAAUAAGCUCCGGCUAACUCCGUG
rnacentral:rRNA from 1 species